rnacentral:rRNA from 1 species
CCUACGGGAGGCAGCAGUGAGGAAUAUUGGUCAAUGGGCGUGCGCCUGAACCAGCCAAGUCGCGUGAGGGAAGACUGUCCUAUGGGUUGUAAACCUCUUUAGGCGGGGAGCAAUGCCGGGCACGCGUGCCCGGAGGGAGAGUACCCGCAGAAUAAGCAUCGGCUAACUCCGUGCCAGCAGCCGCGGUAAUACGGAGGAUGCGAGCGUUAUCCGGAUUUAUUGGGUUUAAAGGGUGCGUAGGCGGUAAUGCAAGUCUGGGGUGAAAGGCGGGGGCCCAACCCCCGGACUGCCGUGGAAACUGUGGAACUGGAGUGCAGGAGAGGUAGGCGGAAUUCCUAGUGUAGCGGUGAAAUGCGUAGAUAUCAGGAGGAACACCAGUGGCGAAGGCGGCCUGCCGG